rnacentral:lncRNA from 1 species
CCCACUGCCCUGGAGAGAAGGCAAACAAAGCCAGUGGCACGAGGGAGGAACACCGCAUACACGCUGGGCACUGCUGCUCAACCAGAUCAACCCGAAGUUUGGCAAACCGGCUUCUCUCCGGAGUUCAGAACACCUUUGGUGGCCUCUGCUGCCACCUGCUGGCCACAGCGGGGUAGACUGGUUUGUGGGUGUUUUCAGGCGUUCCUCUUUUUCUGUCUGCAUGAUGUCAUCCUCCCCUGUGGCCGUGGGACCAUCUACAUGCUGUUGACUCCCAAAUCUUUCCGUCUUCUGAGAUCCUGGUCUGUGUAUCUGGAUGCAAACGUCUCUGACCCUCCAGUCCCCUGACACCCCUCAAGUGACAAGGGUUCCUAAAAGGCAGAGCUGGAACCAGGCCCCAGGUCUCCCAGCUGCUGACUCAACCUUCACAUUUCCAACAGUGCAGCACCAGACACGGGCACAGUGACUGCCAGAGAAGGAAGAGAUAAAGAUCAGUGCUGGCUGGUGGCAGAGGCAGGAUUUGAACUCCAAUCAGAGUAGCGACCAAGCCAGGUUCUUUCUCUAGCACACUGUGACACUGCUGGAGGCAUGUCGGCUUCUAAAACACACAGCUAAGGAGUAUGGGCCAACAGAAGGACCCUGGCCAGGCACAGUGGCUGGACACAGGCUUGUGGCGAAAGUGUCGCUGGAAGGGGCGGGCGCUGACUUCCGUGCCAGGUUGCGGAAACUGAAUGGGUCCCAUGGACGAGAAAAGAUGAGGGCAGAGGGCGGGAAGAAGGAAUGGAACAAGGAAAAGGGACAAAGAAGGAACAAUCGGACUGAGGAGCUGAAGCAUGAUGGAGACAGAUUCCUACACCUUACACCACGGAGCAGGGUGGGACAUCAUAGCCUGCCACCUGUGUGUACCUUGCAAGUUAAGGAUGUUUCUCUCUCCCUCUCUCUCUCUCUCUCUCUCUCUCUCUCUCUCUCUCUCUCUCGUGCUGGGGAUUGAGCCCAGGGCUUCAUACAAGGUUUUUCACUUUUUAAAAAAAUUUUUUUUAUUUUUUGGUACCAGGGAUCGAACUUGGGUCCUUGCGCUUGCGCGGCAGGUGGCGAAACCACGAAGCUAAAUCCCGGGUCCUUGUUUUUCACUUUUAAAUGCUUGAAAAAAAUACAAAAGAAAAAUCAUUUCAAAUGAUGCAUGAAAAUGAUGUGAAAUUGCAAUUUCAGUUUAUUUCUAUAAAUAAAGUUU